GAGACGCUGGCGGCGCGCCUAACACAUGCAAGUCGAACGAGCGAGAGAGAGCUUGCUUUCUCGAGCGAGUGGCGAACGGUGAGUAACGCGUGAGGAACCUGCCUCAAAGAGGGGGAUAACAGUUGGAAACGACUUGCUAAUACCGCAUAAGCCCACGGUGCCGCAUGGCACAGAGGGAAAAGGAGUGAUCCGCUUUGAGAUGGCCUCGCGUCCGAUUAGCUAGCUGGUGAGGUAAUGGCCCACCAAGGCGACGAUCGGUAGCCGGACUGAGAGGUUGAACGGCCACAUUGGGACUGAGACACGGCCCAGACUCCUACGGGAGGCAGCAGUGGGGAAUAUUGCACAAUGGGGGGAACCCUGAUGCAGCGACGCCGCGUGGAGGAAGAAGGUCUUCGGAUUGUAAACUCCUGUUGUUGGGGAAGAUAAUGACGGUACCCAACAAGGAAGUGACGGCUAACUACGUG
rnacentral:rRNA from 1 species